rnacentral:rRNA from 1 species
UACGUAGGGACCAAGCGUUGUUCGGAUUUACUGGGCGUAAAGAGCGUGUAGGCGGCCUGGAAGGUCAGCUGUGAAAACUCGAGGCUCAACCUCGAGACGUCGGUUGAAACCACCUGGCUAGAGUCCGGAAGAGGAGAGUGGAAUUCCCGGUGUAGCGGUGAAAUGCGCAGAUAUCGGGAAGAACACCCGUGGCGAAGGCGGCUCUCUGGGACGGUACUGACGCUGAGACGCGAAAGCGUGGGGAGCGAACAGG